UCCACUCUCGUCAUCAUAUUUUUUGUUCCUUUUUUAUAUCCAUGCAUUUUUGAUUAUUUUCUUAUACUCUUUGGUUUUUAUUUGGAUCUGUUAAUCGUAUUUUCGUUUCAUUUUCUUAGAUCUAUCCUUCUUUUUUCUGCUGGUGUUGAAAAUAUAUGAUUUGUUUAAUUUUUUUUGUUUCUCCUGCUGUUGUUCGGUUUUCUUUAUAUGAUCUGUUAAUCGUAUUUUCUUUCUUUAUUUUCUGCUGGUUUUUUAUUCUCUUUUAUCUUAUUGUGUUGGAAUCGAUUGAUAGAUUGAAUUUAUUGUUGAUGUUUUAUGAAAAUAUUUAACAUUGUACGGUAAAAAUAAGUUUGAGAUUUUUGUUCUGUACUUUGUUUAAUAUUUUCAUGAAAUAUCAAUUAAGAAUUAUAUUCAUCAUUUAUUUAAUUGUUUUUAUACAUAGAUCUGAAUAUAAAAGAAUGGAUUUGUGUUUUGAUUUGUUCGAUUUCCUAGUAUAGAUCUGUUUAUUGUUUUUUUAGUAGUUUUUUUUUUAACAAUCUUCUUAGAUCUUAUUUGUGGUUGAAUAUAUAUUUUUGUUUUGUUUUUUUGUUUUCUCGCUGAUGUUCGAUUUUCCUUGUAUAUAGUUUUGUGAACUGAAGUUUAAUUUUAUUAAAUGUUCAUAAAUUUAUUUUAUUUUAUCUGAUUGUGUUGUAAUCAAUCGUUGUGUUGAAUUUAUUCUUGAUGUUUUACGAAAAUAUUAACAUUGUCCAGUAAAAUAUAUUUGUAUAUUUUUCUGUACGUUGUUUAAUGUUUUCGUAAAAUAUCCAUUGAGAAUGAUAUUCAUUAUCUAUUCAAUUGUUUACCUAUAUGAAAAUCAGAAUAUAAGAGAAGUGUUUUAUGUUUUUAUUGCAAAUUUCAUUUGUGUGGAUUUUGUAAAAUUUAAAGGUCUUCGUUUGCUUGAGUAUCUUUCUUAGAUUCAUAUAUGAAAGAUCCCUCGUUUUAGAUCUGUGUUUUAGAUCGGUGAUGUUCGAUUUUCUUUGUCUUUGUUUCGUUUUAGUAAGUUUUCAAAUAUAUAUUUUAUUUUACAUGAUUGUAUUGGAAAAGAUCGAUGGAUUUGAUUUAUUUUUUAAGUUUUAUGAAAACAUUUAACAUCCUACAGUGAAAAUAAAUUCUUCUGUAUGUUGUUUAAUGUUUUCAUAAAAUCUCAAGUAAAUGAUUGAUAUCCUUCAUCAAUUUUUUUUUCCUUUUCUAUAUGGUGAUCUAGUCAUAUGUUGAAUGUUGUAUAUUUUGAUUGUAUAUUCAAAGGUGAAAUGAUAUGAAUUAUUUAAAAUUCAACAUCUUUGUUUCUUAUAAUUUUUUUUUUCAAUUUUUCUUAAAUUUUUAGUUAUUUUGUUUUUAAUUGUAUGGUUUUUCAAUUGUAUAGUAAUCAUGUCUUCCGAUGUGUUGUCGUUUGGCCUUUCUUCGAUAUGGUGAAGUGGAUUCUGUCGUGUUGGGGCCAGCCAUUCAAGUUAUUUCGCCUUACCUUCUUGUGGACUCUCUUCCUCGUGUGGUGGUCACCUCGGUUCAACUGCUCCCUCUUCUAUUUUUUCGUUGCUUCCCUGUCGGGGCCGUUGGCAUCGGCCACAGUGUGCGUGUCUGAGCUGUCUGCUAUAAAUCUCCGAAACUACAUAUCGUGUAGAGCCAAAUGAAACUGCCAUAAAUCUCCAUUUCUCUUUUCUAAUUAUUUGUAUAUAAUCUUUGUUUUGGACUCUAUCUGCUGUAAUAGCUUAUUUUUUAUCGAAACUUCUUUACUUCUUUUCGUCCGGUUAAUUGAAUUUUUCUUCCGGUUAAUGAAGUAAGAUGAGAUUUUUAUCCACUGUUUAGUCACGAACUCCAUUUCCG
rnacentral:lncRNA from 1 species